rnacentral:rRNA from 1 species
UACGUAGGGGGCAAGCGUUGUCCGGAUUUAUUGGGCGUAAAGAGCGUGUAGGCGGUCAGGUAGGUCCGUUGUGAAAACUCGAGGCUCAACCUCGAGACGCCGAUGGAAACCAUCUGACUAGAGUCCGGAAGAGGAGAGUGGAAUUCCGGGUGUAGCGGUGGAAUGCGUAGAGAUCCGGAAGAACACCGGUGGCGAAGGCGGUCUGCUGGGCAGUUGCUGACACUGAGGCGCGACGAGCGUGGGGAGCAAACAGG